rnacentral:rRNA from 1 species
GACAGAGGCCCCAAGCGUUAGGCGGAAUCACUGGGCUUAAAGCGUGUGUAGGCGGAUCGUUAAGUGUCUUGUGAAAUCCCACGGCUCACCCGUGGAACUGCUGGGCAUACUGGCGAUCUUGGGCCAACUAGGGGCAGUCGGAACAAGCGGUGGAGCGGUGAAAUGCGUAGAUAUCGCUUGGAACGCCGAAGGUGAAAACAGACUGCUGGGGUUGCGCCGACGCUGAGACACGAAAGCCAGGGAGCAAACGGG